rnacentral:rRNA from 1 species
GACGUAGGGGGCAAGCGUUAUUCGGAAUUAUUGGGCGUAAAGCGCUCGUAGGCGGGACUGGAAGUCCGUGUUGAAAGACCUCGGCUCAACUGAGGGACCGGCUCGGAUACUCUAGUUCUUGAGGCAAUCAGAGGGUGAUGGAAUUCCCGGUGUAGCGGUGAAAUGCGUAGAUAUCAGGAGGAACACCGAUGGCGAAGGCAGGUCUCUGGGCCACUACUGACGCUGAGAAGCGAAAGCAUGGGGAGCGAACAGG